rnacentral:rRNA from 1 species
GACGAACGCUGGCGGCGUGCUUAACACAUGCAAGUCGAACGGAAAGGCCCUGCUUUUGUGGGGUGCUCGAGUGGCGAACGGGUGAGUAACACGUGAGUAACCUGCCCUUGACUUUGGGAUAACUUCAGGAAACUGGGGCUAAUACCGGAUAGGAGCUCCUGCUGCAUGGUGGGGGUUGGAAAGUUUCGGCGGUUGGGGAUGGACUCGCGGCUUAUCAGCUUGUUGGUGGGGUAGUGGCUUACCAAGGCUUUGACGGGUAGCCGGCCUGAGAGGGUGACCGGCCACAUUGGGACUGAGAUACGGCCCAGACUCCUACGGGAGGCAGCAGUGGGGAAUAUUGCACAAUGGGCGGAAGCCUGAUGCAGCAACGCCGCGUGCGGGAUGACGGCCUUCGGGUUGUAAACCGCUUUCGCCUGUGACGAGGCGUGAGUGACGGUAAUGGGUAAAGAAGCACCGGCUAACUACGU